rnacentral:rRNA from 1 species
GUGUCAGCAGCCGCGGUAAUACAUGUGGGGCAAGCGUUGUUCGGAAUUACUGGGCAUAAAGGGUGCGUAGGCGGUCUGUUAAGUCACCGGUGAAAGUUUGCGGCCCAACCGUAAAAGUGCCGGUGAUACUGGCGGACUUGAGUGCGUGAGGGGUAGGGGGAACGAGCAGUGUAGCGGUGAAAUGCGUAGAUAUUGCUCGGAAGGCCAGAGCCGAAGGGGCCCUACUGGUGCGCAACUGACGCUGAGGCACGAAAGCGUGGGGAGCAAACAGGAUUAGAUACCCUGGUAGUCC